ensembl:lncRNA
CACAAAUCUUUUUUCCAAAUCAAUUUUCGUGGAACUGUAUAUAUUCCCACAGAUGGGCUUCUGCUUUUUUCCAAGAGAUGGUUUGCAGGGGAGGUGGUUUCAAACUAAUGACUCGCCCUAAGGAGAAAAUGCAGCUUCAUUCAUGUAACAAUUGAAACCAUUAGGAUAGUCAUAGAGUGCAUACAGACUGGGUAUAAAGAAGUACUUGCAUGUUAUUAGAAAAAUGAGUACUGCUGAUUUUUGGAGCUUGUGAAGGUCACCUCUUUUUUUUUUUUUUUUUUUUUUAAACUUUAGAUUUCCCGUACAUGUACUGGAGUAACAAUUAUCUACCUAUAAGACAUCUGAAACAUAAGCAUAAUGGAAGGAAUAUUGCUGAUAUGAUAUCAGGAGGUUUCUUCUGACAUUUACAAGUUUUAAAACUUCUAUAAUAUGUCCAGCUCAGUUGAGCUUUAGUCCCUGAGUACUGAUUGCUGCAACUAUUCUGUCUCCUGAUGAAGACAGUCUAAUGAGCACUUUUAUACGUAUUAAAAAUCUUCCUUUAUUUGCAAUUUUUUGUCCAAAAGACCCAACAAAGGGUUAUGAAGAAGACUCAGAUGAUGGAUAACCUUUCUUUGUAGUGCUUUUUGCUGGCAAAAUUUAGUUGUCUUUCCAGACUUUGGCAUCUGUCAUUUACCCCUACAAAGUCAGAAAUCCCCUCUUAACAUGCAUAGUUAGUCAGUGAGGUGUGCUAAAAAGAGAUUAAAGAGAUCAAAUAAGAGUUUAUUUUAGAGAGCAAUGCAAACAUCAACAGAAACCUGUCAACAAAGUGGUAAGUAAUAAAAGAAGUAAAUUAUUGACACAGGUUAAGAAACGUGAAAGAAGUCUUGAGAAAAGGAUGGAGACUCAGAGUACUGUACCAAACAGAGCCUUCGGUGUGAUUUUUGAACAUUUUUCAUUUUAAAAAAUGGCAUCACCAGGUACACCUGUGAAGAGGCAGGUCAAGGAAACUCAUGAUGAACCCGAAGUCCAAUCAUGAUAUUUUUUCCACAGGAAAAUAUUUUCAGACCUUUUCGUAACGUCCAAGGAGCAGAGAUGAAAACCAAAUCUCAGAAUGGUCUGAAUUAUGUGCCUUGACUUAAAAGAUGAGUUCUCAGUCGUGGCAAACCCAAAGAGAGCAGGCAAUUUUAAUUUGGCAAGCUCUGUACAAAUCCAAUCACCAUUUGGAACUCCAGGAGGAUUGUUCUACCUUGAUGAAUAACAAGAUGCAUUGGAAUGUGCUUGGGAUUGUUCUUUCAGCCCUGGCAGAUCAUAAAGUGACCAUUCUACCACUGUGAUGCCAGAAGCCUCCUGCCUUCGGAAGUUAUGAAAUAGACUGAUCCUGCGCCACGGUAGUUAUGUGCAACAAAGCCUGAUUUCUGUGGACUUUCAAGGAAGUAAUUGAGCAAAUAAUUCAGCUCUGAGAAUGUGAGAGCAAUGACAAAUCUUACUGGGUUAGAGGCAAUUGUAGGUGACAAGCUGUUUUACAAUGAAGCCACUUGUAUUCAGAACUUCUGAUCCUGGUUGACGAGUGUAAUUUUAGCUACACAGGCUUAAAGUUUUUAAUUUAAAUUCAGGAGGGGCUUACCCACUGAAUUUCUCUUGUGGAAAUGGAUUUCCAGGCUGGGAAAAACUCUAGCUCUUAGGCAGUUUUCCCAUUUACUAAGUAUAGCUGUUCAUUUUAAUUUGCAUAAAGAACAUGGAUAUGUAAGUCUCCAAUUACUUUAAAAGCAGUAUUUCAACAGAUACAGUGAAGUAAUUAGUUUAAUGAGGAAAUGUCAUUACAUAGUGGAAAGCUUGGUUUGCCAAGGAUCAAUUUGUUGACAUUUGAAUCCAACUAGAAAUGAAAUGCACAGAACAAAAAGUAAACGAUUUUAGUAAAAGCCACCUCGUCCGUUUGGAACAAAUGGAAAGUAUGUCUGCUUCUCCACCAGAGGGGCUAAGUAAGGGGGUUUUCUGCAUUAGAAGACUUACAAAUGAUCGUUUAAAAUAUGAAGAGAGUAGGAAAGUUUAUUGUGCAAACGUGGGGAGUCAACAAGUUCCUUUUGUGAAAAGUAGAAUAAUUAUUUCCAGAAUACAUUUUUCCUAUAUAUAAAAUGAGGAUAUUUAUUACUUACAUCUUUUCAGAAUUGUGAAGCCUAAUUCAGAAACAUCUGGUAAUGUCUCUGAAAUUCGCAAUCAGGGCAGCAAAUAUCCUAACUUUUAUAUCUGGAUUUCAUUUGCUUGACUGUUAACCAUUAUUGAUACACUGUCAUAUAAAUUCUUCGUAUCUCCCAUACAAAUAAAGCACAAGAUAUUGCUCUAAGAACUUUCCUGUCUAUACUGGAGAUUACAGCAGUAAUAAAUCAAGUUAUAACAACGAAAAAUAACUACAUAGGAAAGCAGUAAAGAAUAUAGCCAUGAGAGGUAACAAAACAGUUUCUGUUAUGUACGUAUUUUAUUA